rnacentral:lncRNA from 1 species
GGAGACCAGAGCCCGGCUCCACUGAAGAAACCCGCCGGCUGCUGGGGCAGGGCGGCGAAAGGUCAGUCGGCCGAGAGGAGUCCGUGGAGCCACCGUUUCAUAGCCUCAGGGAAAGGAUCGGGCGUGCUCACGAGCCCUCUAACCCAUGGCUUAAACACCCGCUUCCUAAGCCUGGGUUCUUAUGCCUUUGUUUGAAAAACAUGGUUCCCUGUGAAAUUUUACAUGUAGAAGAAAGCUUCACACUACGAGAGCUCUCAGGAUAUAAUUAUUUCAGACAGAUACUGGGAACAUAAGAUGGCUUAUCAAUCUAAGAUGGCCUUCCUGUCCUUCGGAUUGAACUGAAACCAUCCCUGAUUCCAGGGAUAGGUAGAUGAUCCAGGUUUGGACAAUCAAAAUAUUGAACCACCCUGGACCUACAAGUGUUUCUGGGAUGGGAACAUGCAAACGUUGGUCCAAAUUGUUGUUCUAGGCAGCCCAGUACAUUUCUCCAAUGCCUGAUGGAAUGAUAGGGUAUGCAUAAAUGUUCAUGUGGGCUCUGGAGUAUACCAGGAACUGAAGUAAGGUACAUGGACGUCUUGAAUAUUGUAACUGAGAUGGGCAAGCCUACACCUUUGCAAAUAAAGGAGGAUUGGGAAAGAUUAAGCCUCUCAAGCACUGUGAAAAAUCACUUUCUCUUGUUGUAUUCUUGGAGCCCCUGCUAAUUCAUUAUUGAAAAAUACCUGCUGCCUGCAUUUGGCCUUAUGUUGUCAUUUACUUGGGUCUGUGCAUGGCGUUUAGAAGGCUACACCUUAGGCUGGGGGUCAAGAAUGUCUUCCCUGAUGUGAGGUUUACACAGAGAUCUGAAGAAUGAAGAGUCCAGCUAAGUUAAGUGGGAGCGGAUUAAGGGAAUGCAAGGACAUGAAAGAGUGUCCUAGGCAGAGGGAACAACAUAUACAAAGGCCCUGAGGUGGGAGUGAACAAGGAACUGAGAGAAGAACUGAGAGAAGGCCACUGUGGAAAGCCAGAUGCUGUGUGACAUGAAUAAUGGGACACAGGAAAUUGAGAUAUUAGCAAAAGAGAGAUUGAUGACCCAUAGGCUUGAAGAUGUACUGGAACUAAAGUAAGGGGCGAGGAUAAAUAAAAAGAGGGAGAAAUUGGAGAAACAGAGUGCUUGGAAGCCCUGAUGAAUUUGAGGAAAAGGAUGGUGAUAGAGUUGACCUAGCCAGCUAGAAGAGUAGUACUUUUUAGUCAGUGAGCCCUCCAUCCCAUUUCUCAUUAAUUCUUGUAACACUUUCUCACUUCCUAUAUUCUGUCAUAUUUUAUAGUUGUUUAUAUAAUUAUCUUAUUCUUUAUACCAAUUGUAGUUUCCCUGGGUGCUUAUUAUGGAUUAACAAUUAUAUUAUUAUUAAUAAUAUGGGUGAAUGUUUACAAAGAAAGAAGUCUUUUUUGCUAUUCUUAUUUUAUUUCUUUAAUCUUUGAUCAGGGGUUUUUAUUUAUGAAUUCAUCUUAUAUGUCACUUGACAAACACUGAAUGCUGAAUGCCACAGAGUACAUGACACUUUAGCAGCAUAAAGAAAGGCACCAAAACCAAGCAGCAAACUACAUGCUACAAAACAACAAUUUUUGGAAUUAAUGAAUGAGGCUAAUUUUCUGGAGUCCUCUCUCUCUUUUAAAAUGUAAGAAGUGUUAGUAUGGCCAGGCAUGGUGGCUCAUG